rnacentral:tRNA from 1 species
UGCGGGGUAGAGCAGCCUGGUAGCUCGUCGGGCUCAUAACCCGGAGGUCGCAAGUUCAAAUCCUGCCCCCGCUA